CCGCUUACUCCCCCUCCCGCUCUUCCCCAAUCCGUGCGCCUGCGCACCGGGGGUGGGCGUGGCCGGGGAAGCUCCGGCGCUAGGCUCCUCCUCCCCGCCUCGCUUUCGCUUUCACUUUCCCAAGUGCCGAGGGUUCUUCUUGCUCUUGGGGUACCUGGAAAAAGAAAAGGGAGGCUUUGCGCUUUUCCCUGGCCGCUGGAAGCUGGACGUUAAUGCCCGCGCCCCGCGAGUGCUGAUGUUGGAUAACCAUGUAAUCAUUCAUUUGGAGAAACAUUUACUUUUACAUGAAGAAAUUGAAAUAGGAUCCAACUGAUGGUGCAGAUGAGCAUGCAAAGAGAUGUUGAUUCAAAUACACCCAGAAAGAUUCCUCUGUCCUUUCACUGACCACCAAACAGUUUAACACAUCAGUUUGUUCUCCAACAAGAUGAUUCCAUCAUACUUCCUAAAUGGAUAAAUGGCUUUCCUAACCCAUGCUUUGAACCUGAUUGACUUGGACCUUUGAACAUCAGAGGAACUGUUGCUCUCCGACUUUCAAUUGGGUGGAAAUAUUUAUGUUCUAAACCAAACUGAAUUUGGAAAGAAUCCAACCAUUCUUAUGGAUUGCUACAGAAGCAAAUUUUAACAUCUGCUUAUUGAGAGGGACAGUGCUUUUAUUUCUGUCAGAACUGGACCUAAUAACUUCCUCUUGUUUCUCUGCUCUGAGGCAGUCCCAAAGAAGGGUUUAUUUAAUGUUUUAGCUUGAACCUUUAUAGCCAAGUUCUGAACACAUUAUCUUUUUAUGGUGUAUUUGAUUAAUGAUUUAUCAAAAGUCUGAUAACAGCCAUGUUGAAGAGCAAAUUUGCACUAGAUUAACAUAUUGCUACACCUGCUGGUCUCCAGGGGACGUUGGGCAGACACAAGUUCUCCACCCAUCCAUUUCCCAGACUGAUUGCUGACUAUAAACUGUGGUAAGAGCCCUCUAAAGAGAUCUUCCCCUGACAUCCUCUUCCCCCAAAGUUGGUGUUAUGGGAUUUUCCCCUUUAAUUCUGCCUUUUUGACUAUCUGUGGAACACAUCUUACCUUUUUUAAAUUAAAAUUUUAUUGAUAACA
rnacentral:lncRNA from 1 species